AACGAUGAACCACUUCGGUGGGGAUUAGUGGCGAACGGGUGAGUAACACGUGGGCAAUCUGCCCUGCACUCUGGGACAAGCCCUGGAAACGGGGUCUAAUACCGGAUACUGACCCUCACGGGCAUCUGUGAGGUUCGAAAGCUCCGGCGGUGCAGGAUGAGCCCGCGGCCUAUCAGCUUGUUGGUGAGGUAAUGGCUCACCAAGGCGACGACGGGUAGCCGGCCUGAGAGGGCGACCGGCCACACUGGGACUGAGACACGGCCCAGACUCCUACGGGAGGCAGCAGUGGGGAAUAUUGCACAAUGGGCGAAAGCCUGAUGCAGCGACGCCGCGUGA
rnacentral:rRNA from 1 species